rnacentral:sRNA from 1 species
GUGUUUGCUUCAAUCAAUAUGUCUGAGUAAUCUGCUUGUUAGGAAUAGGGUUUCUCAUUAGGGAUUCAUAUGGUUUAGUAGAUUGCCCCCUCUGCUUGGUU